GUCCUGAGCAGCAUGAGCAUGUGGACGCCUUUGAUCACACAAAGUGUGACUUCUCUGGCAUGUCUGGGCACAAAGAUCUGGUACUUUCAAAAGUCAUCCACAAGGCUUUUGUGAAGGUCCACGAGAAGGCAACUGAGGCUACUUUUGUGGAUAUGUGUUGGUUUGAGUACUGUUCAGGCAAGAUAAUGCGGGGCAAUUUAAACUCUUUCAUCGCAGACCACCCCUUCCUCUUCUUCAUCAGACAUAACCCCACUAUGAACAUCCUGUUUGCUGGUCGGUUCUGCUGCCCUGUGUGAGCUCUGUGUCCUUUAGAGCAGCUCAGUACCAGAAGUCUUUAGUGUUUAGUUGGAGAACCUUUCAAAAUCACUGCACAACAGCGCUGUA